rnacentral:misc_RNA from 1 species
UCCGAGUUGACCCCGGCAGUCCCCCAUGAGUCCCCAGCCAUCCGAAGAUGCUGCUGGCAACAUGGAGCAAGGGUUGCGCUCGUUGCGGGACUUAACCCAACAUCUCACGACACGAGCUGACGACAGCCAUGCAGCACCUAACCACAGAUUCUCCGAAGAGCACCCCGAUAUUUCUACCAGGUUUCUGCGUUUUCUAGCCCAGGUAAGGUUCUUCGCGUUGCGUCGAAUUAAACCACAUGCUCCACCGCUUGUGCGGGCCCCCGUCAAUUCCUUUGAGUUUCAGCCUUGCGGCCGUACUCCCCAGGCGGGGCACUUAAUGCGUUAGCGCCGGCACCCAGGGGGUCGCUCCCCCAGGCACCUAGUGCCCAUCGUUUACGGCGUGGACUAC